CACGUAGGUGGCGAGCGUUAUCCGGAUUUACUGGGCGUAAAGCGUGUGCAGACGGAGCAGCAAGUGGUGUAUGAAAUCGCGGUGCUUAACACAGCGAGGUUAUGCCAGACUGCUGGACUAGAGUGCGAGAGAGGGAGAUGGAAUUCCGGGUGUAGUGGUGAAAUGCGUAGAGAUCCGGAGGAACCCCAGAGGCGAAAGCGGUCUCCUGGCUCGCAACUGACGUUCAGACACGACAGCAUGGGGAGCGAACGGG
rnacentral:rRNA from 1 species